GGCAAACAGGAGUGGUCUAAGGCGCUGGUCUAAGGAACCAGUCCGAAAGGGCGUGGGUUCGAGUCCCACUGUCAUCA
rnacentral:tRNA from 1 species